rnacentral:piRNA from 1 species
UAAAAAGACAUUUGUGCCCUUCCUUUAGCUA